rnacentral:rRNA from 1 species
GAUGAACGCUGGCGGCGUGCUUAACACAUGCAAGUCGAACGAUGAAGCCCAGCUUGCUGGGUGGAUUAGUGGCGAACGGGUGAGUAACACGUGAGUAACCUGCCCUUAACUCUGGGAUAAGCCUGGGAAACUGGGUCUAAUGCCGGAUAGGAGCGCCUACCGCAUGGUGGGUGUUGGAAAGAUUUAUCGGUUUUGGAUGGACUCGCGGCCUAUCAGCUUGUUGGUGAGGUAAUGGCUCACCAAGGCGACGACGGGUAGCCGGCCUGAGAGGGUGACCGGCCACACUGGGACUGAGACACGGCCCAGACUCCUACGGGAGGCAGCAGUGGGGAAUAUUGCACAAUGGGCGAAAGCCUGAUGCAGCGACGCCGCGUGAGGGAUGACGGCCUUCGGGUUGUAAACCUCUUUCAGUAGGGAAGAAGCGAAAGUGACGGUACCUGCAGAAGAAGCACCGGCUAACUACGUG